CAUCCUUGUCUUUGAUUAAAUGCUUUCAGCUUUUCACUGUUGAGUAUGAUACCAGUUGUGGGCUUAUAAUGUAUGGCCUUUAUUAUGUUGAGGUAUGUACCCUCUAUGCCCAUUUUCUAGAGAGUUUUUAUUGUAAUGGGUGUUGAAUUUUGUCAAAAGCUUUUUCUGCAUUCUAUUGAGAUGAUCAUAUGAUUUUUAUUCUUCAAAGUGUUAAUGUGGUAUAUCACAUUGAUUGAUUUGUGGAUAUCCAACCAUCCUUUCUUCCCUGGAAUAAAUCCCACUUGAUCAUGGUGUAUGAUCCUUUUAAUGUAUUGUUGGAUUUGGUUUGCUAAUAUUUUGUUAAGGAUUUUUGCAUAUAUAUUCAUCAGUGAUAUUGGCCUGUAACUUUCUUUUUUUGUGAUAUCUUUGUCUUGUUUUGGUAUUGUAGUGAGGCUGGCCUUGUAGAAUGAGUUCAAAAGUGUUCCUGCUGUAAGUUUUUGGGAAUAGUUUGAGAAGCAUAGGUGUUAACUCUUCUCUGAACUUCUGGUAGAAUUCACUUGUGAAGCCAUUUGGUCCUGAACUUCUGUUUGUUGGUAGUUUUUUAAAAUUGCUGAUUCAAUUUCAUUACUGGUUAAUUGGUCCAUUAAUAUUUUCUAUUUUUUCCUUGUUCAGUCUUGAGUGUACAUUCUAGGAAUUAAUCCAUUUCUUCUAGGUUGUCCAUUUUAUUGGCAUACAGUUGUUGAUAUUAAUCUCACGAUCCUUUGUAUUUCUGUUGUGUCAGUUGAAACUUCUUCAUUUCUGAUUUUAUGGAUUUUGGACUUCUUUUUUCCUUGAUGAGUGUGGCUAAAGAUUUAUCAAUUUUAUUUUUCUUUUCAAAGAACCUUCUCUGACCAUAACUUUUCCUACUUGUCAAGUAUCUUUUUCGACCACAAUGCUAUGAGACUAGAAAUCAACUACAAGAAAAAGAAAAAAAAAACUGCAAAAAACACAAACACAUGGAUACUAAAUAAUAUGCUAACAACCAAUGGAUCACUGAAGAAAUCAAAGAAAUAAAAAAUAUAUAUAUCAGGAGUUCUCUAGUGGCCUAGUGGAUAGGAUUCCAGGCUUUCACUGCUGUGGCCUGGGUUCAAUCACUGGUCGGGAAACAGAUCCCUCAAGCUGCCCAGUGUGGC
rnacentral:lncRNA from 1 species